UUGGCCGCACAGGAAGAACGUCAAUUUCAUCCAAUCACAACAGAAGAAGUUGGACCUCUUUCAUGUUCAUCAAGCUGGUAUGGUUCCUGAGAACACCACCACUGCGGUGGUUAAACACAAAGAUUAAUUAAGGGGCAGACUAGGGAAAGAAGGUAGUAAUAGCGGGAACGAUGAAGAGAUCUCAAAACAUUGAGACUUUCUUUAUUGUAAAUAAGAAAAAAAGAUCAGCUGCAGGAGACAGUGAGGCUAAGACAUCAUCUUCAGGACAGCAUUCAGCAGAGAUUCUCCCCAGUGAGGGAGACAACCACUCAGAUGAGGAUCCACAAGAGUCUGUAUGUGGAAGUUGCAGUGGCAGCGACACAGGCGAGGCUCCACAUUCUCUGCUCCCUACAUCGUCCCAGUC